rnacentral:rRNA from 1 species
AACGAACGCUAUCGGUAUGCUUAACACAUGCAAGUCGGACGGACUAAUUAGGGCUUGCUCCAAUUAGUUAGUGGCAGACGGGUGAGUAACACGUGGGAAUCUGCCCAUCAUUACGGAAUAACUUUUAGAAAUAAAAGCUAAUACCGUAUAUUCUCUACAGAGGAAAGAUUUAUCGCUGAUGGAUGAGCCCGCGUCAGAUUAGGUAGUUGGUGAGGUAACGGCUCACCAAGCCGACGAUCUGUAGCUGGUCUGAGAGGAUGAUCAGCCACACUGGGACUGAGACACGGCCCAGAAUCCUACGGGAGGCAGCAGUGGGGAAUAUUGGACAAUGGGCGAAAGCCUGAUCCAGCAAUACCGAGUGAGUGAUAAAGGCCCUAGGGUUGUAAAGCUCUUUUAGCAAGGAAGAUAAUGACGUUACUUGCAGAAAAAGCCCCGGCUAACUCCGUG